rnacentral:rRNA from 1 species
UCAAAAACAUGUCUUUUUGAAAAUAAUUUAAAGUCUAAUCUGCCCACUGAUAUUAAAUUAAAGGGCUGCAGUAUAUUGACUGUACAAAGGUAGCAUAAUCAUUAGUCUUUUAAUUGAAGACUUGUAUGAAAGAUUUGAUGAAAUAUAAACUGUCUCUAAUUUAAGUAUAAAAAUUAAUUUUUUAAUUAAAAAGUUAAAAUAAUUUUAAAAGACGAGAAGACCCUAUAAAGUUUUAUAAUUUAUUUAUUUAUUUUUAAUAAUAAAUAUAAAUAAAAUAUUUAAUAUAAAUUAUUUUAUUGGGGUGAUAGAAAAAUUAAAUAAACUUUUUUUAAUAAAUAACAUUUAUAAGUGAAAUAUUGAUCCAUUAUUAAUGAUUAAAAGAAAAAAUUACUUUAGGGAUAACAGCGUAAUAUUUUUUUUUAGUUCAAAUAAAAAAAAAAGUUUGCGACCUCGAUGUUGGAUUAAGAUAAAAUUUAAAUGCAAAAGUUUAAAAUUUUGAUCUGUUCGAUCAUUAAAAUCUUACAUGAUCUGAGCU